GAUGAACGCUGGCGGCGUGCCUAAUACAUGCCAGUCGAGCGAACAGACGAGGAGCCUGCUCCUCUGACGUUAGCGGCGGACGGGUGAGUAACACGUGGAUAACCUACCUAUAAGACUGGGAUAACUUCGGGAAACCGGAGCUAAUACCGGAUAAUAUAUUGAACCGCAUGGUUCAAUAGUGAAAGACGGUUUUGCUGUCACUUAUAGAUGGAUCCGCGCCGCAUUAGCUAGUUGGUAAGGUAACGGCUUACCAAGGCAACGAUGCGUAGCCGACCUGAGAGGGUGAUCGGCCACACUGGAACUGAGACACGGUCCAGACUCCUACGGGAGGCAGCAGUAGGGAAUCUUCCGCAAUGGGCGAAAGCCUGACGGAGCAACGCCGCGUGAGUGAUGAAGGUCUUCGGAUCGUAAAACUCUGUUAUUAGGGAAGAACAAAUGUGUAAGUAACUAUGCACGUCUUGACGGUACCUAAUCAGAAAGCCACGGCUAACUACGUG
rnacentral:rRNA from 1 species